GAUGAACGCUAGCGGCAGGCUAAACACAUGCAAGUCGAGGGGUAUAGUUCUUCGGAGCUAGAGACCGGCGCACGGGUGCGUAACGCGUAUGCAAUCUACCUUUUGCAGAGGGAUAGCCCAGAGAAAUUUGGAUUAAUACCUCAUGGUAUGUGGGAAUAGCAUCAUUUUCACAUUAAAGUCACAACGGCAAAAGAUGAGCAUGCGUCCCAUUAGCUAGUUGGUAAGGUAACGGCUUACCAAGGCAACGAUGGGUAGGGGUCCUGAGAGGGAGAUCCCCCACACUGGUACUGAGGCACGGACCAGACUCCUACGGGAGGCAGCAGUGAGGAAUAUUGGACAAUGGGCGCAAGCCUGAUCCAGCCAUGCCGCGUGCAGGAUGACGGUCCUAUGGAUUGUAAACUGCUUUUGUACAGGAAGAAACACUGGUUCGUGAACCAGCUUGACGGUACUGUAAGAAUAAGGAUCGGCUAACUCCGUGCCAGCAGCCGCCGUAAGAC
rnacentral:rRNA from 1 species